CCGUCGUUGUCAGGUUUUUCUCGCCGAUUAACUACGGUGGUUUUCUUGCUUCACAUCGCUCUUACCCAUGUAUUAUUUUGAGGGACGAAUAUGAUUUGGUCAAGUUCAUUAAGUUGGUGCAACAAGCAGGCCUAUUUGUUAAUCUCCAGAUUGGCCCUUAUGUUUGAACUGAAUGGAACUUCAGGUAAUUAUUUUUGUUAAGAAUAUUUUGUGAUUUUUCUUUUUCUUUUUUUCUUUUUGAUCUUAUGUAAAUAUGGUUAUAUUCAUUACUCUGUUUGUUACUUUUUCCUUCUUCGUUCAAUCAUGUAGAAAGAUGAUUAUAAUUUAGUUGCUCCAAAGAUAAAACAUGGAUUUGUUUAUGAGAUCACACAUUUCUAUACGGGCGAAGUAAAACAUCACACAAAAUUGUCCUACUAUACGAGAAAUUUUUCCAUGCUGACCUGGAGUUCCACCAACCAUAACUUGACACCUAUUUAUUUUUAAUACCCACCUACUAGUCUCUCCUUCCUCUCUCCCUUCUCCGGAAACUGAAAAACAAAGAAGAUUUUUGCAUUUGCAUUAUUCAAAAUAAUAUCAGAGUAGAACAAUUUCCAAGGAGUUGUCAGAUUUUCAUCAACAGAUUCUAUGAUCUCAGUUUUAUUUUCUCGGUUCCCAACUAUUGUCUCUUGUAGAUAAGAACAACAUUCUCACAUGUAAUAAUUUACAUAUCCCUGACAAACACCCAUUUAUUGACAACAUGUGCUUAUCAACAUUUUUUAAACAUUUUAAAGAAAUCUUACAAGGCUAAUUGUCAAAUUGCAAGAUAUUUUGAUAUACGUUGUUGCAAUACAACCUUUGGAAAAACAUAGGCUUUUUAACCAAAAUUAUCCCUGAGAUUUGCAUAACUCCUCACUUUGGUCCCUGAGAUUUCAAAUCGAUAAAAGUGAUUCCUGAGAUUGUCCACCAUUCAUCAACUUGGUCAUUCCGUUAAACAAUUCCGUUAAGUUCAGGGUAUUUUUAUCAAAUCAAGUUCUCCACUUACUUUUUCACCCUUUUUCUAUCAUCUCUCUCAUAUUUUCUACCAAAGUCAUCAUUUCUCUACAUUCGUCCUUGUCGGUUGACAAAGAAAAGGGAAAAAGUGAUUAGGGUUUCUGAAUUGGGGGUUUGGGUCCCGGUGUAGAACUAAGGCUGAAAAUCAGAAAUCGGUAAGGAAUCUUUCGAAUUGGUGGAUUACGAGGCAAUGAAGUUGACUGCGAGAUGACAAACCAUUUUCGCAGAUCUGGAAGGCUCCCAAAUAUGGUGAGUUGCAUUUGAACCAUAUAAUACUAAGAUUGUUGAUACAUUUGAGAUACUUAAGUAUUUUAAAAUGUUUAGUUGUCGGUGGUGUGGUCCUAAGGUGUGGGUUUUUGUCAUUUUGUAUUGAAGGUUGCUUUGGUUUGCAUUGGUUUGCAUUUUGGCUUUUUAAAUGGCAUUGUAGUGGUUGGUGUGUAUGUUUACUGCUGUCUUGUAGUGUGGAAUAGUUUAAAGGUUUUGGCAUUGAAUAAGAGUAGGGAAGAUACAAUCUUUGGUGGAAUGUCAUGAUAUUGCAAGACAAUUGGGAUAUCACUUGGAAUUAAGCAUGCAUAGAAAAAAGCCUACUGGGAUAGGAUUUGUUGAAAUGACACGUGAUAUAGAAGUUUUGGUUUUAAUUGAUGAAAUGGGAAAAAACAGGAUAACAGAAUUAUUUAUGGUUGACAAGAAGAAGAAGGAUGUUGGUGAAGGCUCAACUAAUGUGGAUGUAUCAGUAGAGCAAGAGGUUAAGAUAACAAAUAAGGGAGAUGUUGUGUCUUUUCUUGAAGAUGUUGAGGGACGAAAUUGGGAAGAUACAGAUGUUGAAAAGGAGCAAAAUGAGGAAGUUGCAGAUGAGGAUGUGUUUAAAGACAGUGAUUAUGAGCAGGAUUCUGAUUGAGUUGCAAGUUGAUUAUGAAGUUGAUGAUGAUGAUGAGUUUGAAAAACAUGUAGACCAACCUAUUACAGAAGAGCUCGAAGAAAUGGGGUUUGCAGGAGAGAUAUCAGAUGAGGAUGCUAAUUCUUGUGACUUUCAUAACCUUGAAAAUGAAACUUCAUAAGAAGAAGAUGAAUUUGAUGAGGUAACCAGCAGAAAGAGAAAGAGGCAGCAGAAUAAGCCUACACCAAAGUUUAAAGAGUGGCAUAGAGGUACAGACUUGAAAAAUCCUGACUUUUGCAAUGGUAUGCUUUUUCCUAAUAAACCACAAUUGAAGGAGGCUAUCAUUAAUUACAGUGUAAUUAAUGGGAAACGUGUGUGGUUUAAAAGAAAUGACAAGGUUAGAAUUAGGGUUGUUUGUCAAGAAGAUUGCCCUUUUGUCAUUUAUGUUGCAAGGUUGCAUAAAUCAACAACUUUCCAGAUUAAAACACUUGAGUUGAAGCAUGUUUGUGCUAGAGAUGAAAAAGUUUCUUGCCUUAAUUCUAGAUUCUUAGCACAAAGAUAUGCUAAUCAACUUCUCAUUGAUCCAGAUUGGUCUGUUGACUUGUUUAAGGCUGCAAGUUAGGAAGAUUAUGGCCAAGAGGUGACUACUCAACAAAUAUAUAGGGCAAGGCAGAGAGCAGAACAAUUGAAUUGUGGUACUUGGGCUCAACAAUACAGCAAACUUGAACAAUACGCUGAGGUAUUGAAGAGUACAAACCCUGGAUCAACUGUGGUUAUUAAAAUUCAGAUGAGAGGUGAUAUAAGAAGAUUCUAGAGAAUGUAUAUUUGUUUUGAAGCUUGCAAAAUGGGGUUUAAAAAGGGGUGUAGGUCUGUUAUAGGACUAGAUGGAUGUUUUGUGAAAGGGAAACAUCUGGGACAAAUUUUAGCUACAAUUGGAAUUGAUGCCAAUAAUGGGAUGUUCCCACUUGCAUAUGUUGUUGUGGAAAUAGAAAAUGAAGACACCUGGGAGUGGUUUUUGAAAAUGUUGAUUGGUGACUUAGGCAUGAGCAAUACUCAUGGCUAUGCAUUCAUCACAAACAAGCAAAAAUGGUUAAUUAAUGCUAUUCAAACCUUGAUGCCCAAUGCAAAGCAUAGACUUUGUGUUAGGCACUCGCAUAAUAACUUCAAAAAAAUACAUAGUGGCCUCGCAUUAAAGCAAACUUUGUGGGAGGCGGCAAGGGCAACAACAAUACCUUGGUUUCAGUCAAUUAUGGAUAAGUUGAAAGAAGACAAUGAGGAAGCUUGGAAGUGGUUGGAUGACAAACCACCAGGACAUUGGAGUAAAUCAUAUUUUAGCACAUACUUUAAGUGUGAUAUUCUUGCCAACAAUCUAUAUAAGGCUUUUAACAAAUCGAUUGUGAAGGCAAGGGACAAGCCCAUUUUGACUAUGCUCCAAAUGAUAAGGAAGAACCUAAUGGUAAGGAUGGCAAAUAGAAGAGUGGCUACUUUAAAGUAAAAGGGGGUUGUUGGUCCAAGAAUUGAGAAAAUAAUUGACAAGUUGAAGAAAGAGCGUGGGAUUUGCCUUGCUACUCUAGCUGGAGAUAUGAAAUACCAAGUUCAACACUUACAUGGGUGGGAGUUUGCAGUAGACUUAGGAGCCAGGACUUGUUCUUGUAGGAAAUGGGAUCUUUGUGGAAUCCCUUGUGCUCACGCUAUUGCUUGCAUUCUAAGAAAAAAAUAAGAUGUUGCUUUAUAUGUUGAUGAGUGCUAUAAGCAAGCAUCUUACCUCAGUGCUUAUGCCCCUUUUAUUUCACCUAUCCCUGGUCCAGAUCAAUGGUUAAAAGUGGCAUAUAUUAUCACUAUUAAACCUCCUUUACAUAAGAUGCAAACAGGCAGACCUACGAAGAAUAGGAUAAAGGAGCCUAGUGAAAAGCCACCAGCGACAACUCAUGGUGGAAAAAAGCUAGGGAAAUGGGUUUCACACAGACCAUAUACAUGUCAACAAUGUGGACAUGAGGGCCACACAAAAAGAACUUAUGGAAAUGGGGGCUCUACAAGUCAGUCAACACCAACUCAUGGCACUUAUGAGCCAAGUCACACAACUGCAAACACACUAGUGACAACUCAAGCCACUCAAGAGCCAAAUCAUUCAGUUGUUAACACAUCUACACUAGAGGUAGGCAUGGGCAUGGGAAGAGGAAUAGGAAGAGGAAUGGGAAGAGGGAAAGACAUGGUAUCUAACUCACAACCCACUCCACAAGUUCAAAUGGUACAAGGCUGCAUUGGUGUCACUUCCCAAGUGGUGCUAUCACAAUCACAAUCCACCAACAAACGAUAUAAAUUACCAGCAAAGAGAGGCAAGCCUUGGAAGCCUUGAGCAUUGAGGGAGUUUGUAGUUUGGAUAUCACUGCAUAAAUGGGAGAAAACAAGUUGCAACCAUUUAUUUUCUUCUUCUUUUUGAAUUAGAACAGUUUGAUAUUGAUUUUGCAGUUGAACAUUGCUGUUAGACAUGUGGGAUGUUUUUUGAUGUUGAACAUUUGAACAUAUUUUGCUUUGAGAUA